rnacentral:rRNA from 1 species
AUUGAACGCUGGCGGCAUGCCUUACACAUGCAAGUCGAACGGUAACGGGUCCUUCGGGAUGCCGACGAGUGGCGAACGGGUGAGUAAUAUAUCGGAACGUGCCCAGUAGUGGGGGAUAACUGCUCGAAAGAGCAGCUAAUACCGCAUACGACCUGAGGGUGAAAGGGGGGGAUCGCAAGACCUCUCGCUAUUGGAGCGGCCGAUAUCAGAUUAGGUAGUUGGUGGGGUAAAGGCCUACCAAGGCAACGAUCUAUGGUUGGUCCGAGAGGACGACCAGCCACACUGGGACUGAGACACGGCCCAGACUCCUACGGGAGGCAGCAGUGGGGAAUUUUGGACAAUGGGCGCAAGCCUGAUCCAGCAAUGCCGCGUGCAGGAAGAAGGCCUUCGGGUUGUAAACUGCUUUUGUCAGGGAAGAAAUCUUCUGGGCUAAUACCCCGGGAGGAUGACGGUACCUGAAGAAUAAGCACCGGCUAACUACGUGCCAGCCGCCGCCGUAA